rnacentral:rRNA from 1 species
UCUCUGGUCUGUUACUGACGCUGAGGCUCGAAAGCGUGGGGAGCAAACAGGAUUAGAUACCUGGUAGUCACGCGUAAACGAUGAGUGCUAAGUGUUAGGGGGUUCCGCCCUUUAGUGCUGCAGCUAACGCAUUAAGCACUCCGCUGGGGAGUACGACCGCAAGGUUGAAACUCAAAGGAAUUGACGGGGGCCCGCACAAGCGGUGGAGCAUGUGGUUUAAUUCGAAGCAACGCGAAGAACCUUACCAGGUCUUGACAUCCUUUGACAACUCUAGAGAUAGAGCUUUCCCUUCGGGGACAAAGUGACAGGUGGUGCAUGGUUGUCGUCAGCUCGUGUCGUGAGAUGUUGGGUUAAGUCCCGCAACGAGCGCAACCCUUAUUGUUAGUUGCCAUCAUUCAGUUGGGCACUCUAGCGAAACUGCCGGUGACAAACCGGAGGAAGGUGGGGAUGACGUCAAACCAUCAUGCCCCUUAUGACCUGGGCUACACACGUGCUACAAUGGACAGUACAAUGAGCAGCGACACGGCGACGUGAAGCGAAUCUCAUAAAGCUGUUCUCAGUUCGGAUUGUAGGCUGCAACUCGCCUACAUGAAGCCGGAAUCGCUAGUAAUCGCGGAUCAGCACGCCGCGGUGAAUACGUUCCCGGGCCUUGUACACACCGCCCGUCACACCACGAAAGUUUGUAACACCCAAAGUCGGUGAGGUAACCUUCUGGAGCCAGCCGCCUAAGGUGGGAUAGAUGAUUGGGGUGAAGUCGUAACAAGGUAACCA